rnacentral:rRNA from 1 species
UGGGGAAUAUUGGACAAUGGGGGGAACCCUGAUCCAGCAAUGCCGCGUGUGUGAAGAAGGCCUGAGGGUUGUAAAGCACUUUCAGUGGGGAGGAGGAUUGAUAGGUUAAGAGCUGAUGGAAUGGACGUUACCCACAGAAGAAGCACCGGCUAACUCCGUGCCAGCAGCCGCGGUAAUACGGAGGGUGCGAGCGUUAAUCGGAAUUACUGGGCGUAAAGGGUGCGUAGGUGGUUGAUUAAGUUAUCUGUGAAAUUCCUGGGCUCAACCUGGGCAGGUCAGAUAAUACUGAUGAACUGGAGUAUAGGAGAGGGUAGUGGAAUUUCCGGUGUAGCGGUGAAAUGCGUAGAGAUCGGAAGGAACACCGGUGGCGAAGGCGGCUACCUGGCCUGAUACUGACACUGAGGCACGAAAGCGUGGGGAGCAAACAGGAUUAGAUACCCCCGUAGUCC